GGUUAAGAUGCAGUGUAUAUGCAAGUGGACCCCUCAUUGGAAGGAUUUGGCAUGGCUCAAAUAAACUUCUGUGUUUCUUAUUCUGAAUAGAAAUGAACAGCUGUCUUCUCACCUGGAGGUGUACGCUGUACAGGAAAUUUUGCAGAUGAGGAAAGGAGAGAGCCUGCACUAUGUCUCCCUCAUUGAGAGACAAAACUGUUGUAUUCACUCCUAAUGUAAUUUCCAACUUCAGUAGAAGAAUAUGAUAUUUAUUUUUAAAAUACCGCAAUUGUGUUCAGCUGCUCAGGAGGAAGCCUUGAGUCUGUGGCAAUGGAGAGCACUAGAAAAGGGACAGGAGGGAGCUCAAAAGAGGCUGGAAGAACCAAGCAGUCUUGAAGGCGGAAAGGUAGGUGGGAAUGCUCCUCCACACUUUGAAUUUACCAUGGUGUUUUGCAGUAAGUCAUGCUUUUGGUAGAAUAAGCUGAGAUGUACUUUCUGUGAUUAACAGAGGAAUCCAAUUCAAAUGUGGAGGUUUCUCAGCAUGACUGUUCCAUCUGUAGGAACCAGGCCUUGGUACCUUGUGGACAGAGCUUGGCUUGGGAAGGCAGGCUCUGUCACUUGCUCCGAGGUGUUUUACCUGGCUCCUCAAUGGGGAGAAGCCUCUGAGGAUGCAUUUUCAUCAUUUGUCCACCUCCGAGUUGUUCUAAAGAGUUUUGAAUUU
rnacentral:lncRNA from 1 species